UUAUUGGGCAGUAAAAAUAUAAUAAUAAAAAAUAUGUGGAGACGACGUCUCCUUUUUUUCUUCUAUUCUUGUUAUAACUAUAUCUUGUAUUCUUUUCCCAAUUGAUCAAAAUUACAACUUGUUUUUGAAAUAAUAGUAUUUUUUAGACGCACUACAAUUAAAGAAAGUUUAUAUUAACUAUGCAAAGCAAAAGCUGUUAGUAAGCUAAAAUAAAUAAAAUUUCUUAAGCCCACUGUUUAUGAAUCUCGGUGUGUCAGCUUUUCUCCCGUAAACUUUGCGGCAACCUGGCUGAAAAUGUGUUCUGGCCACCAGGACACUCAACUGCAACAAAGCCAUUGCAGUGCUGUCAACAUUUGUUGACACUUAUUGAGCAUUGUCCGUUGAGGUCUGGCUCUGGUUUGGCCAUUUCCGUUGGUGGUUUUUUAAUGACGUCCCUGCAAGUGGGUGGCGGUGGGUGUGACUGCCACUGCGACUGUGUUUGUGUGGCAGACACGUGUCCUCGCUGUUUCCCCAUUGUGCGGCACAAUGUUUUAUGCAUGUAAAGUGUGUGCGAUAAGUGGCAGUUUCACAUUGUGCACUAUCACACUCCUGCCCUCAGAAACUCAUAAUUCUACGGAUUAUUCGCGCCCGAAAGCAUAGAGAACAUGAUGCUGUUUUCAGCCAGGUUGAUGUGGCUCAUUCGCCACGUUCGCCCGCCGAAGUAAACUUUUCCCAUCAGCCAGCAGGCAAAUGAGCUGUUUAAUUCCGGAGCUGUUUGUUUUCGUAGCUGCCACCGAAAGGAAACCCCACACAAGGGAAAACAUUUGUGUUAUGCAACUAGCAAGGAUCUUGUUUCACUUACUGACUUAAUGUUGCUUGCAUUUGCAAACAAUUAUCAUGAAGUUGCGUUACAGGUUUGUAGAAUAAUUAAAAACUUUUCAUUUAAUA